rnacentral:lncRNA from 1 species
AUGGUUGAAUUACAGGGUUUUACAAGUUACACUCAACCAGCUCUUAAAACUGUAAAGUAUGGAAGGCCUAGUGGGGGGCUGGCGGUGCUGGUGUCAACCUCUCUUAAUGUAUCAAUUCAACAGUGUCCCUUGCUGACCACCCCAAAUUUUUUAGUGUUGUCCCUUUCUGAUAGUCUCCUGAGAAAUACUUAUUGCAUAUGUGUGUAUAUACCUCCAGUAAAGUCUUGUGGGGAACUGAGAUCAUAUUGGGAUAAACUUGACCAACUACUCGAAAGUAUUGACUCUCUGUCACCUAACCCUCGGAUUAUCUUGGGAGGUGACUUCAAUGCCCGGAUCGGCCUUGUUUCCCCACAAAAUACAAUAUUAUCUGGUCUAAACUUGGAGGAUGAACCUGAAAUCUGUCAGAGGGCAGCAAUGGACACCACCUCUAAUCGCGCUGGGAAACAUCUUUGUGAACUUAUAAUAAAGCAUAACCUUUUGUUAUGCAAUGGGCACGGUCAAGGGGAUCAAGAGGGUUAUUUUACUUUUACCUCCCCCAGAGGAUUUACUAGCACCAUAGAUUAUAUCCUAACAUCUAAUAAUGUGCCAGUUAACCGAGACACCUUCAGGAUAAUUCCUAGAGCUGAAAGUGACCACUUUCCACUUGAGUUAUCUCUGACAUUAUUCUUUUCUCCUGCCUUUCCUAAAUUAUUGGAUGAAACAGAAUAUCUGAUACUUGGAAAUAGAAGGUUAAAAUGGAAUGCACAGGUCCAAGAAAAAAUGAUUCAGAUCCUGGAUUCCCAUGAAUUUGCUUUAUUAAAGGGGAAAAUGUUGUUAGAAACAGGAAACGUAAUUGGACUUUAUGAGAACAUAAUCAACCAAAUGCGCCCACUGAUGACCACAGCUAGUGUGAUAAAAAACAAAAAGUUUAAGAGACAGACUUGGUUUGAUAAGGAAUGUCAGAAUAGCAAAAAAUACCUAGCUAGGGUACUUAGAAAAUUGAAGUUAAAACAGGAUAAGCACAAUCUUGCCCUACAAGCUGAGGUAGCCCAGUUACGAAACAACUAUAAAUUAUUACUUAAAAGCAAGAAACAAAUAUAUUAUGAACAACAGUGGAAAGAAUUGGGAGAUGCAGCACUUCAGAAGGACUCACGGAAAUUUUGGCAUCUGGUUGCCCAAGGCACAAAUGCGCUGGGCUACUCGUUAGAAGCAUCUGUCCAAGGAAAGGAUUGGGUGACAUAUUUUACAGAAAUAUAUGGCCCCUGCCCUGACCUAUCCCCACAAGUUUACUAUACCCAGUUAUCAGAACUGCCAGAAUGGCCAGACGUCACGCCCAAUCAAAUUAAGAGGCUAAUCGCAAGCCAACUAGCUAAUAAAGCUCCAGGAGAAGACAUGAUCCCAAUGGAGAUCUAUAAAAUAAGACCUGAUUUCUGGUCACCCAUAUUUGCAAAUUUACUUGCACUUUGA